rnacentral:lncRNA from 1 species
UGUUAAGUGCUCCAGUUAGAAUGUGUAUUAAUAGGAAUUUUUGAAUCCUUGUUUUAUAGAUGAUAAAAAAUAGGCUCCAAGAGGUUAAGUAAUUGACUGAAGACCAUACAGCUACUGGGCACCAGAGUGGAAAUAAGGCCAAUAUGACUAUGAAGAGCAGCUUUCAUCCACUUUUCUGACAAGAAGGCAAAGUCCACCAAAGCCGGAAUGUUGUUUUAGUGUCUAUCUAAGCACUGUGGAGAAAAGCAGGCACCUGGGGAUUUCUCCUUUCUGCACACCAGCCUGGUGAUGGAUUUUUUCCCCCUUGUAUAUUUACACUAACAUCUCUCUGUGAUUGGAAGGAAUGUCCCUUGACAACUCUAUCUGACUAGAAAGAUUUUAUUACGCCUUUAGAUACUAGUCUUUCUCUCUCAGCUCUGACUUCGUGAAGGACAGAAACCUUGGUCUGAUUCAUCUUUUGAUCCUGAUUCUUCAGACUAUGCCCAGAUCAGAGUAGGAAGC